AAUACAGAGGGGGCAAGCGUUGUUCGGAAUUACUGGGCGUAAAGGGCGCGUAGGCGGCCCGCUAAGUCGAACGUGAAAUCCCUGGGCUCAACCCAGGAACUGCGUCCGAUACUGGCAGGCUUGAAUCCGGGAGAGGGAUGUGGAAUUCCAGGUGUAGCGGUGAAAUGCGUAGAUAUCUGGAGGAACACCGGUGGCGAAGGCGGCAUCCUGGACCGGUAUUGACGCUGAUGCGCGAAAGCCAGGGGAGCAAACGGGA
rnacentral:rRNA from 1 species